rfam:Leptonema illini DSM 21528 genomic scaffold Lepilscaffold_1, whole genome shotgun sequence.
CGGGCUGUAGCGCAGUGGUAGCGCACACGUCUGGGGGGCGUGUGGUCGCUGGUUCGAAUCCAGUCAGCCCGA